AGUUAAUAAGCUUUAAUAGCAUUUAUUUUGAAAAUAUUUCAUAGAUAUAAAACUAUCUAUUAACUU
rnacentral:tRNA from 1 species